UACGUAGGGUGCAAGCGUUAAUCGGAAUUACUGGGCGUAAAGCGUGCGCAGGCGGUUCUGCAAGACAGAUGUGAAAUCCCCGGGCUUAACCUGGGAACCGCAUUUGUGACUGCAUAGCUGGAGUACGGCAGAGGGGGAUGGAAUUCCGCGUGUAGCAGUGAAAUGCGUAGAUAUGCGGAGGAACACCGAUGGCGAAGGCAGUCCCCUGGGCCUGUACUGACGCUCAUGCACGAAAGCGUGGGGAGCAAACAGG
rnacentral:rRNA from 1 species